UACGAAGGGUGCAAGCGUUGCUCGGAAUUAUUGGGCGUAAAGGGUGCGUAGGCGGGCUUGUAAGUCAGUGGUGAAAGCCCGGAGCUUAACUCCGGAACUGCCAUUGAUACUGCAAGUCUUGAGUACACUUGAGGUGGGCGGAAUACAUCAUGUAGUGGUGAAAUACUUAGAUAUGAUGUAGAACACCGAUUGCGAAGGCAGCUCACUAAAUUGUAACUGACGCUGAGGCACGAAAGCGUGGGGAUCAAACAGG
rnacentral:rRNA from 1 species